GAAUGUAGGUACUUGCUAUUUAGGAAACUUAACGUCAUUAAAACCCAAACCUAUCUCGUCCUAAAAUAACAAUUCUCCAGGACCUUACCGGAAAUGAUCCGGAUAAGACUCCAGGUAUGCGAACAAAUGAUGAAUCUACCUGACAGAAAUGUCUGUUUUCUGACGAAUCAACGAAUUAUGUUAAAUGGUGAACUAAAUUUUGAAAAAUCGUCCCUAUUGUGCAGACAAAAACUCGCACUGGAUAAGGGAAGGAUACAGUCAACAUCCGGAAGCCAAUGUUUGGACAGGAAGUGUAAGCAGGAAAACGGAAUGGAACUGAAUAUUUUGAUCCGAAUGAAGCCGAUGUCCCGAAAGGAAAGAUUUGGAUUCAACAAAACCCUCCUUAUUAUGCAAGUCAUGCCAUUGAGUGUCUGGAUGGUAAAUUUUCAGGCAAAUUAAUUGGACACACACCGGAAAAUGUUGAGAAGUUACCAAGAACCAGUGACUAAUCAAAAAUGUUUAAAACCAGUUGAGGAAACAUUUGGUACUGAGUUACGUUAGAUUCAUUUUACUGAAAACAUUCCCAGUUAGAGACUUACACUGGUUAUGAACGAAAUAUGCAGAUUAUUUUAUUUCCUGCAUAACAAAGAAUAAGAAUGUGGUCAAAGUUGCACAAAUUUCACAAACCGUAACUGAUUGAAUUAGUGCAGUUGCAGAAAAAAUUAUAAUACAUGACCAGCAAAAAACCAUAUCAAAAAAUAAAUAAAUGAAUAAUA